rnacentral:rRNA from 1 species
AGGUAAGCUACUAAGAGCGAAUGGUGGAUGCCUUGACUGGUAAAGGCGAUGAAGGACGUACUAGACUGCGAUAAGCUACGGGGAGCUGUCAAGAAGCUUUGAUCCGUAGAUUUCCGAAUGGGGCAACCCAAUGUAUAGAGAUAUACAUUACCUAUAUAGGAGCGAACGAGGGGAAUUGAAACAUCUUAGUACCCUCAGGAAAAGAAAUCAAUAGAGAUUGCGUCAGUAGCGGCGAGCGAAAGCGCAAGAGGGCAAACCCAGUGCUUGCACUGGGGGUUGUAGGACUGCAAUGUGCAAGAGGUAAGUUUAGCAGAACAUUCUGGAAAGUAUAACCAUAGAGGGUGAUAGUCCCGUAUGCGAAAAACAAACCUUAGCUAGCAGUAUCCUGAGUAGGGCGGGACACGAGGAAUCCUGUCUGAAUCCGGGUCGACCACGAUCCAACCCUAAAUACUAAUACCAGAUCGAUAGUGCACAAGUACCGUGAGGGAAAGGUGAAAAGAACUGAGGUGAUCAGAGUGAAAUAGAACCUGAAACCAUUUGCUUACAAUCAUUCAGAGCCUUAUGUAGCAAUACAGGGUGAUGGACUGCCUUUUGCAUAAUGAGCCUGCGAGUUGUGGUGUCUGGCAAGGUUAAGCAAACGCGAAGCCGUAGCGAAAGCGAGUCUGAAUAGGGCGCUUAGUCAGAUGCUGCAGACCCGAAACGAAGUGAUCUAUCCAUGAGCAAGUUGAAGCUAGUGUAAGAACUAGUGGAGGACUGAACCCAUAGGCGUUGAAAAGCCCCGGGAUGACUUGUGGAUAGGGGUGAAAGGCCAAUCAAACUUCGUGAUAGCUGGUUCUCUCCGAAAUAUAUUUAGGUAUAGCGUUGUGUCGUAAUAUAAGGGGGUAGAGCACUGAAUGGGCUAGGGCAUACACCAAUGUACCAAACCCUAUCAAACUCCGAAUACCUUAUAUGUAAUCACAGCAGUCAGGCGGCGAGUGAUAAAAUCCGUCGUCAAGAGGGAAACAACCCAGACUACCAGCUAAGGUCCCUAAAUCUUACUUAAGUGGAAAACGAUGUGAAGUUACUUAAACAACCAGGAGGUUGGCUUAGAAGCAGCCAUCCUUUAAAGAAAGCGUAAUAGCUCACUGGUCUAGUGAUUUUGCGCGGAAAAUAUAACGGGGCUAAAGU